UCAUAAUAACGUACUUAUCACCAAAAAAAAAAAAGAAAUCAUAGCUUCAUUCAUCUAAAACUAGAGUGGGGACUUUUUGGUCAUAUCACAAUCAAUGACAUAAUAAAAGCGUCGGAGGAUGGAUGUGACGGAGUCGGCGGUGGCGGAGAUAUUGAAAUUGACGAGAGACAGAGCCAAAGCUCCGAACCACGCCAUGUCUCUAGUCCCCGGCGGAAUCGCUGUUCCCCUUUUUUGUUAAGACUAGGAAAGCUCAGAGUCAGAGGCAUGUCCAGAGUUUGAUCGUCGUAUCCUUGGGCUUAUCAAUAUCAGCUGACUCUCAGAGUUUGCUCUCAUGCUUUGCCCACCACAAGGGCUUAGUGGCGGAUGCCUUGAUCGUCCUCUCGGAGUUGUCCCUGAACAGAAUCCAAAGGCUAGAAGCUCUUUUCAGAAGAUUUGAAACCUGCUUCUUGCUCAUACCAACAUCAUUUGAGGAGCAUGACAAUCUUCUUUCCUUGGCAUAUGACAACUGCUCAUCUGAUCCUGCCCCACCCUCAUCCUCGCUACACGAAGCCCAUUCACUUCCUGAUUCCGAUGGUUCCCGGAGAUUAUCCUUUUCACACGUUUUUGCCCGUUCCACAACCCUAUAUGCAAACAUUUGAAAAGGAACCUGUGAAACUUUGGUUAGCUCUGUAGAUUCCCAAGAAAGCUUCUGCAAUAGCUUUGUCUCGAUCUCGCAGUAAUCCACAGUAGGCGCAAUGGACGGGUCUUGUUGGCUACUACUGUAACAUUCCGGGUUCAAAGCUAGAAACCGUUUGAUAUACCGGAGAAUUCUGCUUAUCGAUGAGAAAGUUGGACGCUGAUUGGGAUCAGCAUGCCAGCAUCGUUUUGUCAGGUGGCUAUCUUCAAAUGGUACUUUACCUGUCAGAAGCUCAAAGCUAACCAUCCCAAAGCUAUACACGUCAGAUUUAUCACUAUACUUAAGGCUUCCUGCAGUUCCACUCUGUUCUUGCUCCUCUAGAACUUCUGGAGAAUACCAUAUGAAUGGAAAAUUCUCAUUCUGACUCGUCAAAGAAGCACUUUUACUAGAGAAUCCCUUGACAGAAUUCAACCCGAACCCAAAAAUCUUCCCAAGCAGAUACCCAUCUCCGGAUUGGUUACUUCUUGGUUUGACAAGAAUGUUUGAUGGAUUCAACUCUCCGUGGUAUAUUCUCUUCGAGUGAAGAUAUUCCAUACCCAAAGCUAUCUGAAGCAUCAGAUCAACCGCGACCGGGAGGGAGAGAGUGUUCUUCUUCCUAGGACCACAUACCUCUUUGAUGUGCAUUCCAAGGGUUUUCCUCAUCAGUUCCAUGACCAAGAAACACUCUUUCUUCUCCUCAUCCGUGAAUCCGCAGAGGUAAUAUACAAUGUUUGGGUGUGAAAGAGAUAGCAAUGGAGUAAUCUGAGGAAGCAAAGCAUCAAUAUCCCCAAAGAAAUGCCUAAGCGCAAAGCUCUCGCCUAACCAGAAGAGAAGAAGGAAAUAGCUUGGGGCUCUCAUUUCCAUCUCCCAAAUGCUUCAAAAGGAAAUCAGCCAUCUUCCGUUCAUGUUUGCUCGAACCGGACUGCUUUUUCUCCUGAAGCUCCUUGAUCAGAAUCCAACGGUCCUCUGUCCAAGCACUCUCGAACCGGUUGCAGAAAUCCUCGGUCACCAAAUACUCUCUCCCAAACUUCCAGGUAAACAUCUGAGAGUCAUUCCAUUGCUUCAUAUACUUGUUAGAAUGCACCAACCUCUUCUUGCUCAUCUCUUCUUCAUCCCACCCUGAAACCUCACUCGCUGUCUCAAUAGCCUCGACGAUGAUCGGUAGACAAGAGAGCAAGUUAUGUAUGUGAAGCUCUGUGCAAUCUCUAUUGCUAUGCAACACAAUAGCCUUAGCCCAAAACCCAAGUUUAGGCUCUAAAGACAUUCUAACAUAAGCCUCUCCUUCUCUAACCACCCAUAGAAGCUCCCUUAAGGGCUGUUCUAGUAUCUUCCAUUUAGUGUUCUUCUCUUUGAAGCGUAGAUUGGAUCGCAUCGACACAGAAAUUGACUCGUAGGCUGCGGUGAAGAGGUCGAGUAAUAGAGAGCAUUGACGCUGGUUGAUUUGAAUGCUGUCCUUGAACACCAUUAACGCUCUUAUGCUUCCUAAUACCUCUCCUAUCUCUCGAAAUUGAUCCAUUUCACACCUCUUCAAUUGUACACAAGGCCUUCGGAAUUUGUAUUAUAAAUUAUUGUACUCAUAAGAAAUCGUAUCACAGGAAUGGAUUUGUGAAAGAAAUUCUCUACUUGAGAUGUACGGACACAUCAUACGGAUAAUAAGUUAUAUUUGGCAAUUGUAGCCUUUGUUUGUUUUAUUUACUGAAGUUUGUUUUUUAUAACAAACGCGCAUGAUAG
rnacentral:lncRNA from 1 species